AUGAAAGAAUUGUGGGAAGUUGGAUGGGUCAGUUUGUUAAAGGAGAAAUAACUCUACUUCAUUUAUUUCAAAAGAUUUAUAAUUUUCCUUAAAUUGUAAAUCGAUAUAAGUUCGGUUUGAAAAACUUAAUGAUAGAAUUUGUUUUUUUUAUUUAUAUAAACAAAAUAACGUUUAUGGUUUUAUGAAAUAUAAGCCAAUUUAAUUUAGCUGAAACCUUUUUUUUAUAAACGAAUUGGAUUUAAAAGAGAUAUUUGUUUCUUUUUUUUUAUAUAUAAAUGAACUGAUCAUAAUACAAAAGUGAAUCAGAUGACUAAACUUGUUAUCAUUUAAUUUAUAAUAUAAUAUAAUUUCUAAAGUUUUCCAUACAUUGCAAAUUCACUAUACUACAUUUUUUUGAAAGAAAAUUAUUUAACAGUAAAGAAAGGAAAAUAAUUACUAAACAUUUAAUAUGAGCAACUGGAACGGAAAA
rnacentral:lncRNA from 1 species